UACGUAUGGAGCAAGCGUUAUCCGGAUUUACUGGGUGUAAAGGGAGCGUAGGCGGCCAGGCAAGUCUGAUGUGAAAACCCGGGGCCCAACCCCGGGACUGCAUUGGAAACUGCCAGGCUGGAGUGCUGGAGAGGCAAGUGGAAUUCCUAGUGUAGCGGUGAAAUGCGUAGAUAUUAGGAGGAACACCAGUGGCGAAGGCGGCUUGUUGGACGAUCACUGACGCUGAGGCUCGAAAGCGUGGGGAGCAAACAGG
rnacentral:rRNA from 1 species